rnacentral:rRNA from 1 species
AAAUAGAAGAUUAUUUUUUUUUUUGGUUGGAGAUUUUAGGGAUUAUUAUUAUUUAGAUUUUUUUAUUGAUGAUAAUGAAGAGUACUGUGAAGGAAAUUUGAAAGGAGUAAAUUAUUUUUGUAAAAGUUGAUUAUAAUUCUCUUACCUUUUGUAUUAGGGUUUAACAAAAAAAUUAAUAUAUAUUAAUUUCCCGAAAAUUUUUGAGCUAUAAUUGAUUAUGUAGAUAGUUGUAUAUAUUAGUUAAAUGAUUAUAGAAAUGAAAUUUUAUUCGAAAAAAUGGAUAUCUGGUUUUAAAAAUAAAAAUUAUACAUUUAUUUAUGAUGUUUUUUUGUAAUAAAUUUCAUAAAGUUGAAUCUUAGGGAUAAGCUUAAGGUUUUAUUUAUAGAUAAAUAAAAAAUUUGAAAAAGGUUUAAAAUUUACUAUUUUUGUAAUAAAGGAUUAUUGAGUUUAUUAGUAAAUUAAAUUGAUUUUUACUCAUAUAAUUGAUAGUUGAUAUUUAUUAUGUUAUAAUUAGUAUAAGAUGAUUUUAUUUUGGCUGUUAAUAAUUAUGCUUAAAGGGUUUAGAAGAAAAGUAAUUCGGCAAAUUAAAUUUUUGAAUGUUUAACAAAAACAUUGUAUUUUGUAGUAAUAAAAUAUAGGACCUGCUCAAUGUGUAAAUUAAUUGCUGUGGUAUUGUGACUAUACAAAGGUAUUGUAAUAAGGCUUUAAAUGGGCGCUAAGAGAAUGGUUUAACAAGGAUUGGCUUUCUUAUUUUCUAUAAUGGAAUUUAAUUUAAAAAUGAAAAAGUUUUUAUAAAAUUUUGGGACAAGAAGACCCUGUGAAUUUUUCAUUAAUGAGGUUGUGAAUUAGUUAUAAUAAUUAAUAAGUUUUAUUAAUGUUGAUUGGGGUGAUUUUUAAAGAUUAUUAAUCUUUAAAAAGAUUAUAAAAUAGAACCAUUAUUAAUGGAUGUUUGUAAAAAUACUCCAGGGAUAACAGCGUAAUAACUUUGGAUAGAUCCUAUAGAUAAAGUGGUUUGCGACCUCGAUGUUGGAUUAAGAUUCUUUUAAGAUGGAGAAGUCUUGAAAAGAAGUUUGCUCAACUUUUAAAAUCUUACAUGAUCUGAGUUCAGACCGGCGAGAGCCAGGUUGGUUUCUAUCUAAAUUAUGUAAAUUUUAUUAUAGUACGAAAGGAAUUAAUAAAUAAAAUUAUUUUUUAUUUUUAUUUUUUUUUUUAAAAUAAAUUAUG